rnacentral:rRNA from 1 species
GAUGAACGCUGGCGGCGUGCCUAAUACAUGCAAGUCGAGCGAACAGAUGAGGAGCUUGCUCCUCUGACGUUAGCGGCGGACGGGUGAGUAACACGUGGAUAACCUACCUAUAAGACUGGGAUAACUCCGGGAAACCGGAGCUAAUACCGGAUAAUAUAUUGAACCGCAUGGUUCAAUAGUGAAAGACGGUUUUGCUGUCACUUAUAGAUGGAUCCGCGCCGCAUUAGCUAGUUGGUAAGGUAACGGCUUACCAAGGCAACGAUGCGUAGCCGACCUGAGAGGGUGCUCUGCCACCCUGGAACUGACAAACGGUCCAGACUCCUACGGGAGGCAGCAGUAGGGAAUCUUCAGCAAUGGGCGAAAGCCUGCCGCAGGAACGGCGCGUGCGUGAUGAAGGUCUUCGGAUCGUAAAACUCUGUUAUUAGGGAAGAACAAGUGUGUAAGUAACUAUGCACGUCUUGCCGGUACCUAAUCAGAAAGCCACGGCUAACUACGUG